GCAGGAGUGUGCCAGGCCACCAGGAGGCCACCGUGGCAGAUGCAGAGUGAGAGGGGGAGGAUGGAGAUGAGGGCCAGGCUGCCCAGGGCUCUCGGGCAGUAGGAGAACUUUGCUUUGGACAGAUUGGUCCAUCCACCUUCAGGAAGGUAUUAAGGCAGAUCCAGCUGAAGCUCAAUGGGGUUCCAUCUGGCUGGGUGCAGAGAAGAGCCCGUGCAAAGGUGCAUAGGUGAGCACGCUCACCGACCACACUGUGUGUGUUUGUAUCCAUUUGACCCAAAGUGCAAUGUCCAUUUUCCUGUAGUGAUUUGGGGACCUGCCCCUUCUUCUUUGUGAGCAAGGUACCUUUUGUGCCUGUUGGAAGAAGGCAUGGCCUGGGUGCUGACGUGCAGCCCUGCUGCUUGGCUUCGCUUUGCCCCAAGGUCAGGGCCAGGCGCUGUGUCUCCUGUGUGUGCAGGCAGGCUCUUACUGUUGGGAGCAGCAGUUCAUUUGUAUCCUCUGUUGUCCCCAGUGAGGAGGAAGGCAGAUUUCAGGGUACAUGGUGCUGCACUUGGUCAAAGGACCUGACACCAACUGUCUCUUAUCCUGAUGUUGACAGUUCUUUGGCCACACCCACAGCAUAUGGAGGUUCCCAGGCUAGGGGUCUAAUUGGAGCUACAGCUGCCGGCCUACACCACAGCCACAGCAAUGCCGGAUCUGAGCCGCAUCUACAACCUACACCACAGCUCAUGGCAACGCCAGAUCCCUGAUCCACUGAGCAAGGCCAGGGACUAAACCUGCAUCCUCAUGGAUACUAGUCAGAUUCAUUUUCACUGCGCCACAAUGGGAACUUCCUGUCCAACCCCAUCUUGCUGCUUGAUUUUACCCACUUGGGGUGGAUGAUACUGGUCGUCAUUGCUUACAGUCUAUACUGGUCCAUUCCCAGCCCUUCCGGACACGGUUUGGCUCCAGUUGGCCACCUGCCAUGUGCUUCUCACACACCCUCUGCUCCCCUCAUCCCUGCAGACUCAGAGGUGCUUACUUCCUGUGUGACCCUAUCAGAGACUUUUCAAGGCUGGUGGCCUUUCCAGGACCUGCCUGUAACAGACAUUAAGAACCUAGGAGGCUUUCAGAUCCAGACACAGAACCUAAUCUUUGUGAUUCCUAAUCUGGGCUUCAUUAGAUUUAAAAUAAGUUAAUGCAUAUCGAGCGCUUUGUAGAAGGCUAAUAAAUAUAAGUGAUUUUGUGUCAUUAAUAAACAUAGGAGGAAAAGCCAAGGGACACCCAUGGCUGAUGGAAAUGCCUGCACUUCCCAUUUAGGAAUAACUUGGAGAGUCAAGUGUGAAGAUUCAUCUGGAAUCUCUGAUUUACAUUACAGUUCAGUGUAGCAAGACACCCUCCUUGGGAAAACAGUACUCUUGCUGCCCACAGAAAACAUGGAUGGAAAGACAGCAUAUUUCAAAAAGUCUGAGACCUAGAUGAGGUUCUAAAUCUUCAUUAAGGCAAAAAAAUAAAGGAGUUCCUGUUGUAGCUUCAUGAAUAUGAAUCCAACUAGUAUCUAUGAGGUCCACGCCUUGGAUCCGGUGUUGCUGAGGCUAUGGUGUAGGCUGGCAGCUACGGCUCUGAUUUGGUCCCCAGCCUGGAAACCUCCAUAUGCUUCGGCUGCAGCACUAAAAAAAACAAAUAAAUAAAUAAAUCCUCACUAAUGCAGCUUAAAAUGCAGAUGGUAUGUCCUGGAGAUUUCUAACCAUCCAGAAGGACUGUGCCUGGGGAAUGCUGGCCAACUCAGAUUUGUUUGUUUUCCUCUUGAAUUAUGGCAUGCAGUCCAUGUGCAGUGGCAGAACCCCUGAGCCAGAAGGAACCUCACUGCUAAAGGUCUAAGUCCCUUGAUUUUUACACAAGGACUUGGGCACAGCAGAGCUUACCCCAGGCUGUCAGGCAAAUAGGAGCUGAGGGCUGGAAUGCAGGGUCCCUGAAGUGGCAGAGCUGAGAGGAGGCAGCAGCAAAAGCCACACCCAGGGUGUGCAUAGUGUGUGGUUGCCUCUUCAUUGUCAAAAAUUUGGUAAUAUUUUCUGGGUAUCAAGAAAGAAAACAGAGGAGUUCCCGUUGUGGCUCAGCAGGCUAAGAACCUGACUAGUGUCCACUAGGACAAGGGUUCGCUCCCUGGCCUCGCUCAAUGGGUCAAGGAUUUGGCAUUGCCAUAUGCUGCGGUUUAGUUCGCAGAUGCGGCUCAGUUCCAGCAUUGCCGUGUCUGUGGUAUAGACUGGCAGGUGUAGCUCUUAUUCAACCCCUAGCCUGGGAACCUCCAUAUGUCACAGGUGCAGCCCUUAAAAAGGGGAGAGAGAGAGAGAGAAGAGAGAGAGAGAGAGAGAGAGAGAAAGAAAGAAAGGGAAACUGAGUCCUUCCUGUAGGUUCACAACUCAUUCUGAGUAAUACAUGUAUAUUUUUAGGAUUGUUGUCAACUCUGGGACAGGAAAUUGGAGUAGCAGAGGGGGUCUUCUCUGGCUGCGAUUAAAUAUCUCUUACAAAUCGUACAAAACCCUAUGGCCACGUGGUCACAUUGCUGGGCCCUGCUUGGGCCGGAUGAGGCCAAGGGGACGGGCCGUGGUCAGCAAGCCUCUGAGCAUCCCAUGCAGAAAUAUCUCACCCUAUGGUUCAUGCAGGGCAGCUUAGAGCUCUGGUGCACAAAAGCUUCCCUAAGCACCCUCAUGUCUGCUGAAAUGUAACGUGCUGUGCACCCUUUAUGUCAUCGCGUAAUGUAUCUCAGAAUGAAAAAGCUCUGAAAAUUCCAUGUUCUGCAAAUGAAAAAUGAUAGAAUUGUCACUAUCAUUGUGUUUAGCACUCAGGUAAAUAUUUUAUUGAUUUUUGGCUAAAAGUCCUUACAGGUCGAGCGAGUUGGACGGGACCUUUAAAAUACACAGAUAAGGAGUUCUUGUUGUGACUCAGUGGGUUAAGAAUUCUCAGUGUCCAGGAGGAUUCAGGUUUGAUCCCUGGCCUCACUCAGUGGGUUAAGCCAAAAGCUACAGCUUAGGCCACCCAUAUGGCUCAAUCCAGCAUUGCUGUGGCUGAGGCGUAGGGCCACAGCUGCAGCUCUGAUUCAACCUCUAGCCUGGGAACUUCCAUAUGUCGCAGGUGUGGCACUAAAAAUUAAAAAAAAAAAAAAA
rnacentral:lncRNA from 1 species